AUCCCUUCUCCACCUGUUGGCUAAGAUCAAGUGUAGUAUUUGUUUUUAUCAGUUUAAUAUUUGAUAUGUCCUCUAUCUGAGAAGAAUAUAUAUAUUUUCCUAUGUUUUCAUUCUUUUUAAAAAAAUUUUAUCAGAGAAUCACUGUGAUGUACAGUUACAGACUUAUG
rnacentral:snRNA from 1 species